rnacentral:tRNA from 1 species
GACCCUGUCGUCUAGCCGGCCUAGGACACCAGCCUUUCACGCUGGUAACACGGGUUCGAAUCCCGUCAGGGUCGCCA